GCCCGCAUGGCUCAGUGGUAGAGCGUGUCACUAGUAUCUCGACGAGAUUAUCUAUGACAAGGUCACUAGUUCGAUUCUGGUUGUGGGCA